rnacentral:rRNA from 1 species
CCUACGGGUGGCUGCAGUGGGGAAUAUUGCACAAUGGGCGCAAGCCUGAUGCAGCCAUGCCGCGUGUGUGAAGAAGGCCUUCGGGUUGUAAAGCACUUUCAGCGGGGAGGAAGGCGUUAAGGUUAAUAACCUUGGCGAUUGACGUUACCCGCAGAAGAAGCACCGGCUAACUCCGUGCCAGCAGCCGCGGUAAUACGGAGGGUGCAAGCGUUAAUCGGAAUUACUGGGCGUAAAGCGCACGCAGGCGGUCUGUCAAGUCGGAUGUGAAAUCCCCGGGCUCAACCUGGGAACUGCAUUCGAAACUGGCAGGCUAGAGUCUUGUAGGGGGGGGUAGAAUUCCAGGUGUAGCGGUGAAAUGCGUAGAGAUCUGGAGGAAUACCGGUGGCGAAGGCGGCCCCCUGGACAAAGACUGACGCUCAGGUGCGAAAGCGUGGGGAGCAAACAGGAUUAGAUACCCCGGUAGUC